AAGAUUGGACAAUGGGGGCAACCCUGAUCCAGCCAUGCCGGGUGGGUGAAGAAGGUCUUCGGAUUGUAAAGCAUUUUAAGUUGGGAGGAAGGGCUUUAGGUUAAUACCCUGAAGUUUUGACGUUACCAACAGAUUAUGCACCGGCUAACUCUUUGCCAGCAGCCGCGGUAAUACAGAGGUUGACAGCGUUAAUCGGAAUUACUGGGCGUAAAGCGCGCGUAGGUGGUUCAGUAAGAUGGGUGUGAAAUCCCCGGGCUUAACCUGGGAACUGCUUUCAUAACUGCUGAGCUAGAGUACGGUAGAGGGUAGUGGAAUUUCCUGUGUAGCGGUGAAAUGCGUAGAUAUAGGAAGGAACACCAGUGGCGAAGGCGACUACCUGGACUGAUACUGACACUGGGGUGCGAAAGCGUGGGGAGCAAAC
rnacentral:rRNA from 1 species